rnacentral:rRNA from 1 species
AAUUUUGGACAAUGGGGGAAACCCUGAUCCAGCCAUCCCGCGUGUAUGAUGAAGGCCUUCGGGUUGUAAAGUACUUUUGGCAGAGAAGAAAAUGCAUCGCCUAAUCCGGGAUUCCGCUGACGGUAUCUGCAGAAUAAGUACCGGCUAACUACUUUCCAGCAGCCGCGGUAAUGCGUAGGGUGCAAGCGUUAAUCGGAAUUACUGGGCGUAAAGCGUGUGUAGGCGGUUCGGAAAGAAAGAUGUGCAAUCCCAGGGCUCAACCUUGGAACUGCAUUUUUAACUGCCGAGCUAGAGUAUGUCAGAGGGAGGAAGAAUUCCACGUGUAGCAGUGAAAUGCGUAGAUAUGUGGAGGAAUACCGAUGGCGAAGGCAGCCCCCUGGGAUAAUACUGACGCUCAGACACGAAAGCGUGGGGAGCAAACAGG